UUUCCUAAUAUUUUUUAAGUGACACUUCAGACUGGGAAAGGGGGAGGUUUCGAUUUUGUUUUGUUCUGCAAGUUACUUAUUUCAAGAUUAAUCUUAGCAGUUAGAUCAGGAUAAGGGUGUGUUUUUCACAAGUUUGAAACUCUGGUAUAUGUAAGUUUCUCAAUGUGGUUUUCGCGUUGGAUUUAUUGAGAGUUACCUCAUUUUACCAUUUCAGGUCACUUUUGCAACUCAUUUGCCCAAAUAAAUUCGUUUUAGUCUGAUAGUGUCGUUUAUGGGAACAGCAGGCUUUGGCCCCACAAUUUGGUUCCAGAAAGACAAGGCCCACGAGGGAGAGGUUCCAGAGUGAGCGAAGCGGCUGCUCUGUGCUUCGGCAGCUGUUCUGCUAAAGCCUCUCGGGGUGUCAGAUUCCUAGGGAAACGGGUACGCGCUUUCAGUGUCAUGAACCUAAAGCCGGCAGCGACAGGUGCAAAACGAGAGCUUUCUCAUACACCAUGCCCAGGACUGGGGGAGGGGCUUAUUGGAGUCGCUCCCUUUCUAAAGCAUAUGCGAGUACAUCUCUCAGCUCUUUACGUGUUUAAAGUGAAAAUGUAUCACUCGUGUGAGAAUAAAGGGAAAACAAAGCCGGGGAAGUCCCCGGCAUCGAGUAGGUCAAGCACGUAAAACCUCGGCCGCCUGGGCGCGUAAGGAACGCAGACUUCGAGGCGUGAGCGAAGCUGGAAGCGGGUUCCCUGGAGCCGGUUUGUCCAGCCCUCCGGGAAGCAGACCCGCGAGCUGAGGGAAGCGUGCGCGUCACUAGGGGAGAUGCGGGUGUGGGAGAAAAUGAGCGGCCCGGCCGUCGGACCCCCGGGGAGGCCCACCCUCCGCUGGGCCGGGAGCGAGGGCCGCGGGCUGGGCUGGCGUGCAGCGGCGGGGGGUCCGCGAGGUCUCAGUCCCGCAGACGGGGGUCCGCCCAUCCCGCCCGGGCCUCCGCGCACAGCCCGCGCGGCCGCGUGCGGACCCUAGGGGGCGCCAGCGGGCGUGCGGAGACCCCCGCGGUCUUCUCUCGGACCUGCGGUCGGAGGCUCGAAGCCCGGCGCAGCCCCGUAACCCUCCGAAGGUGGCGCACCCUGACCGGGCCGUCCCCUGUCUGAACCGCUGCUGUCGUCCGGCCCGCUCUCCCAUCCCCUCCCUCGUUUCCCCGCAGGCUCUUCAGGCCCCACGCGCUCUCCCACGGAAGCCGCCCGCCCCUCGGGUCUGCUCCGCAGGGGUCCUUCUCCAACACGUGCCUGCGUGUGUCACACGCUGUCCACAGUGCCCACCGCCCACGGGAGUAAGCUGGCCCUCAGCAUUCCGAGCUUAGAUAAAGCGCGGAGGCUUGGUGACGGCAAAGAGCCGAGGUCGCAGGGGAAGAACAGAGACAGGCUCAAAAAGAAAGGACUAGGUCACGUGAGUUCUCCAGGCAAGACCAGCUAGCCCACCUGUACCUUGUCGGGCAGGUAACUGAGAGGGGUGAUUGCGUAAGGUAUCUGUGCAGGUACCAUUAAGUGGGCUCCCAGCUUUUCUCUUUGUAGAGGCUGGAAGACAAAACUCUCAAAUUCCUAGCUUCUGUGGCUAGAGCUGGCCUGCGAAGUGAAGGUUGAAAUUUCCGAGGAGGGCGUCCUUCCUGAAUAGAAGGUGAGGACACUCUGGAAGGCUUAUGGCUUUUAUUUUCCACCACCACCCCCCAAACACCUUUUUUUUGGUUUUGCUCAGAAUGGGGUUGUGAUGCCUUGGGACAAAGCAGCCAUUGUGUGACUUGUUGUGAGAUCAAAGGAACCCAUUAAGGACUGUGGGGUGAGAAAAUGUACUCAGUUCCUUGAAGGCAGUGGGUCAUCAUUUGACUCUCAAGUACUCCCAACCCCAUCAUUAGCCAUUCCUCUCAUCCUGCAAUCUACUGUCCAAGAACCAAAUAUCUUUUUUCUUUUUUUAGAUUUUAUUUAUUUAUUUGACAGAGAGAGAGCACAAGCAGGGGGAACGGCAGGCAGAGGGAGAAGGAGGCUCCCCCUGAGCAGGGAGCCCGUAUGUGGGGCUUGAUCCCAGGACCCUGGGAUCAUGACCCGAGUCAAAGGCAGACGCUUAACCCUAACCCACUGAGCCAUCCAGGCGUCCCAGGAACCAAAUAUCUUAUGCAUAUCUUAUUUCUCCUAGAAUUCCUCAGUCCUCCAUUCUGAAAAUUACUGCUGAUAUCUCUUGAAACAACUGCAUGCUUCAACUUCAAGAGACGGUCAGCAGCAUUGUGGGGUGAAAUCUCACAUAACAAAGGGGUCAGGAGGCCUGCGCUUAGUUCUGGCUCCGUCAUUAACUGGGUCUGUGACCUUGAGCGAGUCAAAUAAGUGUUCUCAUCUAUAAAAUGGGAGUACUGGACAUGAUUUGAUUUUCCAGCUGUUUUGUUCAAUGACUCUCUGAGGCCAACCAUGAAAUCUUAACAGUGACAAGGAAAAGCCAUAGACAACUGAUAGUGCAAACCCCGACAAAAGUUUACAGCAGAGAAACCAAGCAGCAGCCCCCACUAGUAAGGACCCUUACAAUGCCACAGCAGUUUGGAUAGGGAUGGUGGGGACAAUGGUGGUGGUAGUGAGGGGAAGGACUCCAGCCCCUGCUAUAUCAGUAUCAGAGGCUGUCUUUUCUACGUAUUGGAGAACCCAAAUGAUGGAUUAAAGACCAGUAUCUGUUACCACUUCAGUGGGUUAUGCUAAAUGUUUUUGCUAUACUAAGCUAGGUAUCUAGAGUCAGCAUUCUUGGAGAAUUCAGAUGAUGGGACUAUUUGUACAGAAAUGCUGUCAUUAAGUUCUUAAAGAGUACAUUGAACCAUUCGUUCUAGAUGUCACUGCCCAGGACCAUGUGCUAAGCCAUUAAACACAUGUGUCUAGCUUGAACUGCAGGUUCCAUUAUGGGUCGACCUGAUGGGAAGGCCAUCGUCCUGACAGCUGCUGCUCAGGGGACUGGCCGAGCAGCUGCCUUCGCUUUUUCAAGAGAAGGUGCCAAAGUCAUUGCCACAGAUAUCAAUGAGUCCAAACUUCAGGAACUGGAAGAGUACCCGGUAUUCAAAUUCGGACCCUUGAUGUCAUAGAGAAGAAACAAAUUGACCAGUUUGCCAGUGAAAUUGAGACACUUGAUGUUCUC